rnacentral:rRNA from 1 species
GACGAAGGGGGCUAGCGUUGUUCGGAAUUACUGGGCGUAAAGGGCGCGUAGGCGGCCUGCUAAGUCGGACGUGAAAUCCCUGGGCUCAACCCAGGAACUGCGUCCGAUACUGGUUGGCUUGAAUCCGGGAGAGGGAUGUGGAAUUCCAGGUGUAGCGGUGAAAUGCGUAGAUAUCUGGAGGAACACCGGUGGCGAAGGCGACAUCCUGGACCGGCAUUGACGCUGAGGCGCGAAAGCCAGGGGAGCAAACGGG